rnacentral:misc_RNA from 1 species
UCCGGUUUGUCACCGGCAGUCUCCUAUGAGUCCCCGACAUAACUCGCUGGCAACAUAGGACAGGGGUUGCGCUCGUUGCGGGACUUAACCCAACAUCUCACGACACGAGCUGGCGACAGCCAUGCACCACCUGUGCACCGGCCCCGAAGGGCUGCCGUAUUUCUACGACAUUCCGGUGCAUGUCAAGCCCUGGUAAGGUUCUUCGCGUCGCAUCGAAUUAAUCCACAUCAUCCACCGCUUGUGCGGGUCCCCGUCAAUUCCUUUGAGUUUUAAUCUUGCGACCGUACUCCCCAGGCGGUCGACUUCACGCGUUAGCUGCGUUACCGAAGGAGUUACCCUCCGACAACUAGUCGACAUCGUUUAGGGCGUGGACUAC